rnacentral:rRNA from 1 species
AUUUUUGUCAAAUCUGAAUCAAACUAAGAAAUAAGUUAAAACUUUCAACAACGGAUCUCUUGGUUCUGGCAUCGAUGAAGAACGCAGCGAAAUGCGAUAAGUAAUGUGAAUUGCAGAAUUCAGUGAAUCAUCGAAUCUUUGAACGCACAUUGCGCCCAUUAGUAUUCUAGUGGGCAUGCCUGUUCGAGCGUCAUUUCAACCCUUAAGCCUAGCUUAGUGUUGGGAGACUGCCUAAUACGCAGCUCCUCAAAACCAGUGGCGGAGUCUGUUCGUGCUCUGAGCGUAGUAAUUUUUUAUCUCGCUUCUGCAAGCCGGCCAGACGACAGCCAUAAACCGCACCCUCUCGGGGGGCACUUUUUUAAUGGUUGACCUCGGAUCAGGUAGGAAUACCCGCUGAACUUAAGCAUAUC